AACCUAGCACACCUGCGGUGUGUACCUGCGGAAGGAUCAUUAACCUUUCAAAUCAGGGUGCGGCGCGGCCCCCGAGGAGCGGAAACAAUCCUUGGGAGGUAUGCGGGGGCUUCGAGCCCCCCAUUUACGCACGCACGACUGCCAUCCUUACUUUACGAGCACCUUCUGUUCUCCCUCGGCGGGGCAACCUGCCGUUGGAACCGAAUAAACUCUUUUUGCAUCUAGCAUUUCCUGUUCCGA
rnacentral:misc_RNA from 1 species